UACGGGGGGGGCAAGCGUUGUUCGGAAUUACUGGGCGUAAAGGGCCCGUAGGCGGCCAACUAAGUCGGAUGUGAAAUCCCCAGGCUUAACCUGGGAACUGCAUCCGAUACUGGAUGGCUUGAGUUCGGGAGAGGGAUGCGGAAUUCCAGGUGUAGCGGUGAAAUGCGUAGAUAUCUGGAGGAACACCGGUGGCGAAGGCGGCAUCCUGGACCGACACUGACGCUGAGGAGCGAAAGCCAGGGGAGCAAACGGG
rnacentral:rRNA from 1 species